UUAUUUCCAUUUUCCUGAUUGGUAGACUAAGGCUCAGAGAGAGGAGGCGGCAUUACCCAAAGCCGCACAGCUGGUAAAUGGGAAAAGAGGGGUUUAAAGGUACGUGCCCUGGAGGAGGCCAAUGCUGACCUGGAGGUGAAGAUCCAUGACUGGUACCAGAAGCAGACCCCAACCAGCCCAGAAUGCGACUACAGCCAAUACUUCAAGACCAUUGAAGAGCUCCGGGACAAGAUCAUGGCCACCACCAUCGACAACUCCCGGGUCAUCCUGGAGAUCGACAAUGCCAGGCUGGCUGCGGACGACUUCAGGCUCAAGUGCGCUCCCCCGUCUCUCUCCUCUUCCUGCAUUGCCCACUUUACUUGGCCUUCUCCUGGCUCUGACUCAGGCAGCCAAGACCCCUCCCACUUCCUUCUUUGGCCUCCCUCUCCUCAGGUAUGAGAAUGAGCUGGCCCUGCGCCAGGGCGUCGAGGCUGACGUCAACGGCUUGCGCCGAGUCCUGGAUGAGCUGACCCUGGCCAGGACUGACCUGGAGAUGCAGAUCGAGGGCCUGAAUGAGGAGCUAGCCUACCUGAAGAAGAACCACGAGGAGGAGAUGAAGGAGUUCAGCAGCCAGCUGGCCGGCCAGGUCAAUGUGGAGAUGGACGCAGCACCGGGUGUGGACCUGACCCGUGUGCUGGCAGAGAUGAGGGAGCAGUACGAGGCCAUGGCGGAGAAGAACCGCCGGGAUGUCGAGGCCUGGUUCUUCAGCAAGACUGAGGAGCUGAACAAAGAGGUGGCCUCCAACACAGAAAUGAUCCAGACCAGCAAGACGGAGAUCACAGACCUGAGACGCACGAUGCAGGAGCUGGAGAUCGAGCUGCAGUCCCAGCUCAGCAUG
rnacentral:sRNA from 1 species